GGAAAUUUCUGAAAUUCAUUUCUAUGCAUUUCCCUCCUCACUUUUUUUCUGCACAAAGUUCAAAACUAUAUUAUAGGUGAAAAAAUAAAACCAAGAAAUGAAGGGAAGGUUGAACUAUGAAAUCAACAUAGCAUUGUGAUCUCCCAACGCUGAUAUACCCAGAGUGAACAAUUUGCCUUGCUACAGAAAAUUAGUCACAGACUUGUUGCAGCUGAAGUGAGCAGGAUCAUGAAGUUCCUUUUGUUUGUUGAAUAUGUUAUUAAGUCUUCCUCGG
rnacentral:lncRNA from 1 species